rnacentral:rRNA from 1 species
AUGGACUCCGUCCUUGAGAUCCAGAGUCAAGCGAAGCAGCAACUUCAGCGUGCAGCAAUGGCAGCCGCACCGGCUGAAGUUCUCCCGCCUUGUAAGAGGCAAAAGAAGAACCCCAGUUGUCUGGGAACCUCCGCCGUCCUUCCGGCCACGGCGACUGCCGACUGGUUCGCGCUCCAGCUCGACAUAGUCCGCCGCAUCGCCGACUCCUUCCUCGCCACCAAUGACAUUGACUGCUACAUGGACUUCCGCGCCGUCUGCCACAGCUGGCGUUCCGCCACCGACGACCCCAAGGACAACAUUUUGGACUACCGGUUCCUUCCGCGCCGAUGGAUCAUCCUUGACGAGGUCUUUCAGAGUGGGACUCACCGCCUCUUGGUAAACACCGCCACCGGCCGAAUCCUUCACAGGGAGCUCCCGCUGCUCUCCGACUACUAUAUCGUCACCACCACUCUCGACGGCUUCUUCGUCCUGGCCGAUAGGGGCCCCCCUCAUGCUGCUCGUGUCUUCAACCCUCUCACUGGUGGCGUCAUCCCUUUCACCGUGCCCGUGCCGCCUGAGAUAUACACAGCCAGUCCUCACAGUAUCCGCACCGAAGACUUUGAGAUUUCACUCUAUGGUCUGUUUCGGAGGGCGGUCGAAGGUGAUUUGGCCGGCCUUUGGUGGCUACCAGCCGGAAGCUUGGAAUCAGCCGAAACAGCUGCUGUGAAUGCGAUUGGCAAGAUCUGCGAUGUGAUGAAGUCGCUCCAUGUUGACCCGUUGAAGUUCUUUUCUGGUGAUCCUCCUGAUAUGGGGCUUGCAGACGACACCAAGUGUUUCCUAAUGGAUUUUGGUGGACAACUGCUGGCCACCAUCAAGGGACAACUCGUCCAGAUUUUCAGGUACGAAGCCAAGAAUGGCGUGCUUUUGCAUUUGAAGAGCAUCGGCAACCAUGCCAUCUUCCUUGGUCAUCAUAGGUGCAUAGCUGUGGAUACUGAUAUGUUCCCAUUGAUCGAGGCAAACUGUGUUUACUACACUGAACAACUGGGUUUGUAUGCUCGUAUCCGGAAAUGCAACAUCAAGGACGAGAAAGUAGAGAGCAUCUCGGAAGCCGUUGAUUUUGUGAAGCAGGACAAGCAGUUUGUCCUCGUCGGCGACCGUCCUUUUACAAUCAUCCAGCUUCUGUCAAGCUACACCAUCAACAUCCGGGAUUCUGAACUGGCCUUACAUCAGAUCACAUGA